AUUGAACGCUGGCGGCAUGCCUUACACAUGCAAGUCGAACGGUAACGGGCCUUCGGGUGCCGACGAGUGGCGAACGGGUGAGUAAUGUAUCGGAACGUACCUUUCAGUGGGGGAUAACGUAGCGAAAGUUACGCUAAUACCGCAUAUUCUGAGAGCAGGAAAGCAGGGGAUCGCAAGACCUUGCGCUGAUUGAGCGGCCGAUAUCAGAUUAGCUAGUCGGGGAGGUAAAGGCUCACCAAGGCGACGAUCUGUAGCGGGUCUGAGAGGAUGAGCCGCAACACGGGAACUGAGACACGGUCCAGACUCCUACGGGAGGCAGCAGUGGGGAAUUUUGGACAAUGGGGGCAACCCUGAUCCAGCCAUGCCGCGUGAGUGAAGAAGGCCUUCGGGUUGUAAAGCUCUUUCGGCCGAGAAGAAAUCGUAUCAGCUAAUACCUGGUGCGGAUGACGGUACCGGCAUAAGAAGCACCGGCUAACUACGUGCCAGCAGCCGCCGUAAGAC
rnacentral:rRNA from 1 species